AUUGAACGCUGGCGGCAGGCCUAACACAUGCAAGUCGAGCGGAUGAAGGGAGCUUGCUCCUGUAUUCAGCGGCGGACGGGUGAGUAAUUCCUAGGAAUCUGCCUGGUAGUUGGGGAUAACGUCCGUAAACGGGCGCUAAUACCGCAUACGUCCUUAGUUAGAAAGUGGUGGAUCUUCGGACCUCACGCUAUCAGAUGAGCCUAGGUCGGAUUAGCUAGUUGGUGGGGUAAAGGCCUACCAAGGCGACGAUCCGUAACUGGUCUGAGAGGAUGAUCAGUCACACUGGAACUGAGACACGGUCCAGACUCCUACGGGAGGCAGCAGUGGGGAAUAUUGGACAAUGGGCGAAAGCCUGAUCCAGCCAUGCCGCGUGUGUGAAGAAGGUCUUCGGAUUGUAAAGCACUUUAAGUUGGGAGGAAGGGAAGUAAGUUAAUACCUUGCUGUUUUGACGUUACCAAAAGAAUAAGCCCCGGCUAACUUCGUG
rnacentral:rRNA from 1 species